UACGUAGGGUGCAGGCGUUAAUCGGAAUUACUGGGCGUAAAGCGUGCGCAGGCGGUUUGCUAAGACAGGUGUGAAAUCCCCGGGCUUAACCUGGGAACUGCGCUUGUAACUGGCAAGCUUGAGUGUGGCAGAGGGGGGUGGAAUUCCACGUGUAGCAGUGAAAUGCGUAGAGAUGUGGAGGAAUACCGAUGGCGAAGGCAGCCCCCUGGGAUAACACUGACGCUCAGGCACGAAAGCGUGGGGAGCAAACAGG
rnacentral:rRNA from 1 species